rnacentral:rRNA from 1 species
GAACGAGAAAGUGGAGCAAUCCAUGAGUACAGUGGCGACCGGGUGAGUAACACGUGACUAACCUACCCUCGAGUGGGGGAUAACUCCGGGAAACCGGAGCUAAUACCGCAUAACAUCGCAAGAUCAAAGCAGCAAUGCGCUUGAGGAGGGGGUCGCGGCUGAUUAGCUAGUUGGUAGGGUAAUGGCCUACCAAGGCUGAGAUCGGUAUCCGGCCUGAGAGGGCGCACGGACACACUGGAACUGAAACACGGUCCAGACUCCUACGGGAGGCAGCAGUGGGGAAUUUUGCGCAAUGGGGGAAACCCUGACGCAGCAACGCCGCGUGGAGGAUGAAGUCCCUUGGGAUGUAAACUCCUUUCGACCGGGACGAUACUGACGGUACCGGAAGAAGAAGCACCGGCUAACUCUGUG